GUAGCUAUAGAAUUUCCAACAAUUAAUGAAACCACAUUUGGUAGGAAAGCGGGACCAUGGUUGGCCCAGGCCAUCUUUCGUAUAAAAAAACAUAACAGCAAAAAGGAAAAAGCUGCAGAUGACAUUUCAGAAAUAUCUGGUGAAGAUGAAGACGACUCAUCUGCAAACGAAAAUAUUGGUGCCCAUGAUGACGGCUCAUCUGAUGCAAACGAAAAUAGCGACCGAGGUUAAAAAACUCAUUUAUCUUACUAUUAUAAUAUUAUGUACUGGAUGUGCAAUUUUAUUAUUUUUAUAUUAUUUAAACUUAAUACACCAUCCCAAGGAGAACAGAAAAACAUUAUAUGUUGACCAAAUUGAUGUUACUUUAUUUAUUUUUUUAAUUUUUAAAAUCAAUUUUAUUAAUUUGAUUUUCUGUUUUCCUUGGAAUGUAUUGUUUUUGGAAUCUCGAUUAUUUCAUAUUUGAGGGGAAUCUUUUUUGAAUGAAAUAUUAACGGUGAUGAGAAAAGGCGGUUUAAAAUGUAUUUAGAGCUGUAAUAUCAGGCACUGUGAGCUUAUCACGGAAACUAUAGAUAAUAGAUAAACAGUAAUGAGAUAACUGCUGACACGAAAAAAGAGAAAACUGAAAUUGCAAAUUGAACAUUGUGAACAGAUGUGUACAGAAUGUUGAUCUGGACGAAUGGUUGUUCAUGCUCGCUGGUUUCAACCUUCGACCAAUAUACGUAAUUUUCGUUUGUAGCGACACCGAGUACAUGGCUUAAGUUUGCAAAUUCUAAGUAUAUUUUCGAGUCGAGAUAUUUCGCGAAUCUCCAUUGUCGUAGAGGGUUCCAUCGUCAGCUGAAUAUCGAGAGACAGAUUUCGCAUUUUUAUAAAAUGUAAUGUAAAUGUAUAUGCGCUAUCAUACUCGCGAGUUUAGCUUAUCAUGGGCUUUGCAAGUUCUCUUCUCGUCUUACGAAAUGUAAUUAAUUUCGCGUAUACAACUCUACGAUUCUGGAAAAGUUACAUAUUCUUGAUUGCGUAUGCCAUAAAUAAGACUCGUCAAUAUAACAUGAAAAAAGAAAUAUUUAGGUAAACGUAAUACGAUCUUUUUUGUGUCACUGUUAAUGCAAAGAUACUGUAAUGAAUUAAGCUAAUGUGCGAUUUUGUUGAUCAAAUAAUCUGUCGCCCACUGCAUAUUAAUUUGAUCGAUCGGAAUCGCAUACGAUUGCGUCAUAGUCUAAUAUUACGGUCCCCUUUCAUUUUAUUAUCUAUUUAAUAUACAAACGUAAAUGGGUUCAAUGUAAUAACCAUUGUUUCGCCAAACAAUCUAAUCCGCGAAAUGUUCCCAUUUACAAAGUACGAAAAAUCUGCUCUUAUUCUAUUAGCUUUUCCUGUUUUGCUUACGGCUAUUCUUUGAAAAUUUUUUUGGCAAUAUUACAUAGACUAAGAAGAAAAUACUUUGUCUUACUGCGUUGUAAUUGGAAACGUCGAUAGAUCCAUUUUAUGGAGUCUAUUUUGCGAAAUGUAUUUUAUUCAGCUUUCGAAAGAGUCAAUAAGCUAAUAAGUUGCUAAUAAGCAAGCGUUCAAAUUUUUUGAUUUUAUAAAAAUUUUACCAACUAUUCUAUUCCAAUCAAAAAUUAUUUCCAACCAAAAAUUCUUACUGAUCUUUAAAUGUGAUCGAUGCACGAUGUUCGUACAUUUCACCCAUACAAAAACUUGUAAACGAAAACUCGUCCAUUAAUAUUAAUAUUAAAAAUCGACAAAUUUG